UACGUAGGCAGCGAGCGUUGUUCGGAGUUACUGGGCGUAAAGCGUGCGUAGGCGGUGUCUUAAGUUUGUUGUGAAAUCUCCCGGCUUAACCGGGAGGGUGCGGCGAAUACUGAGAUGCUGGAGUGCGGGAGAGGUAAGCGGAAUUCCGUGGUGUAGCGGUGAAAUGCGUAGAUAUCAGGAGGAACACCGAUGGCGAAGGCAGGUCUCUGGGCCACUACUGACGCUGAGAAGCGAAAGCAUGGGGAGCGAACAGG
rnacentral:rRNA from 1 species